rnacentral:rRNA from 5 species
GCGCCUCGUGAAUUCAUCUCCGGGGGUAGAGCACUGUUUCGGCUAGGGGGCCAUCCCGGCUUACCAACCCGAUGCAAACUGCGAAUACCGGAGAAUGUUAUCACGGGAGACACACGGCGGGUGCUAACGUCCGUCGUGAAGAGGGAAACAACCCAGACCGCCAGCUAAGGUCCCAAAGUCAUGGUUAAGUGGGAAACGAUGUGGGAAGGCCCAGACAGCCAGGAUGUUGGCUUAGAAGCAGCCAUCAUUUAAAGAAAGCGUAAUAGCUCACUGGUCGAGUCGGCCUGCGCGGAAGAUGUAACGGGGCUAAACCAU